UAGUCCACGCCGUAAACUAUGGACACUUGGUGUUGGAGGUAUUGACCCCUUCAGUGCCGGAGCUAACGCGUUAAGUGUCCCGCCUGGGGAGUACGGUCGCAAGAUUAAAACUCAAAGAAAUUGACGGGGGCCCGCACAAGCGGUGGAGCAUGUGGUUUAAUUCGAUGCAACGCGAAAUACCUUACCUGGGUUCGAAAUCCUUUGGAAUACAUUAGAGAUAGUGUAGCUCUUCGGAGCCGGAGGAUCAGGUGCUGCAUGGCUGUCGUCAGCUCGUGUCGUGAGAUGUUGGGUUAAGUCCCGCAACGAGCGCAACCCUUACCUUUAGUUGCCAGUAUUAAGUUGGGCACUCUAAAGGGACUGCCGACGUUAAGUCGGAGGAAGGUGGGGAUGACGUCAAGUCCUCAUGGCCCUUAUGUCCAGGGCGACACACGUGCUACAAUGGAUGAUACAAAGGGUUGCCAAGCCGCGAGGUGGAGCUAAUCCCAAAAAAUCAUUCUAAGUUCGGAUCGGAGUCUGCAAUUCGACUCCG
rnacentral:rRNA from 1 species